CGGGGGGGGGGGCAAGCGUUGUUCGGAAUUACUGGGCGUAAAGGGCGCGUAGGCGGUCCCGCAAGUCCUCCGUGAAAUCCCACAGCUCAACUGUGGAAUUGUGAGGGAAACUGCAGGACUUGAGUUCGGGAGAGGAGAGUGGAAUUCCCAGUGUAGCGGUGAAAUGCGUAGAUAUUGGGAGGAACACCGGUGGCGAAGGCGGCUCUCUGGACCGACACUGACGCUGAGGCGCGAAAGCUAGGGGAGCAAACGGGAUUAGAUACCCCGGUAGUCCUAGCCCUAAACGAUGAGCACUUGGUGUGGCGGGUAUCGACCCCUGCCGUGCCGAAGCUAACGCAUUAAGUGCUCCGCCUGGGGAGUACGGUCGCAAAGGCUG
rnacentral:rRNA from 1 species